AUUGAACGCUGGCGGCAGGCCUAACACAUGCAAGUCGAGCGGCAGCGGGAAAGUAGCUUGCUACUUUUGCCGGCGAGCGGCGGACGGGUGAGUAAUGCCUGGGAAAUUGCCCAGUCGAGGGGGAUAACAGUUGGAAACGACUGCUAAUACCGCAUACGCCCUACGGGGGAAAGCAGGGGACCUUCGGGCCUUCCGCGAUUGGAUAUGCCCAGGUGGGAUUAGCUAGUUGGUGAGGUAAUGGCUCACCAAGGCGACGAUCCCUAGCUGGUCUGGGAGGAUGAUCAGCCAAACUGGAACUGAGACACGGUCCAGACUCCUACGGGAGGCAGCAGUGGGGAAUAUUGCACAAUGGGGGAAACCCUGAUGCAGCCAUGCCGCGUGUGUGAAGAAGGCCUUCGGGUUGUAAAGCACUUUCAGCGAGGAGGAAAGGUUGAUGCCUAAUACGUAUCAACUGUGACGUUACUCGCAGAAGAAGCACCGGCUAACUCCGUGCCAGCCGCCGCCGUAA
rnacentral:rRNA from 1 species